rnacentral:rRNA from 1 species
GUAGGUCCCGAGCGUUGUCCGGAUUUAUUGGGCGUAAAGCGAGCGCAGGCGGUUAGAAAAGUCUGAAGUGAAAGGCAGUGGCUCAACCAUUGUAGGCUUUGGAAACUGUUUAACUUGAGUGCAGAAGGGGAGAGUGGAAUUCCAUGUGUAGCGGUGAAAUGCGUAGAUAUAUGGAGGAACACCGGUGGCGAAAGCGGCUCUCUGGUCUGUAACUGACGCUGAGGCUCGAAAGCGUGGGGAGCGAACAGGAUUAGAUACCCUGGUAGUCCACGCCGUAAACGAUGAGUGCUAGGUGUUAGGUCCUUUCCGGGACUUAGUGCCGCAGCUAACGCAUUAAGCACUCCGCCUGGGGAGUACGACCGCAAGGUUG